UACGUAGGGUGCAAGCGUUGUCCGGAAUUACUGGGCGUAAAGGGUGCGUAGGCGGUUGUUUAAGUCUGUCGUGAAAUCCCCGGGCUCAACCUGGGAAUGGCGAUGGAUACUGGGCAGCUAGAGUGUGUCAGAGGAUGGUGGAAUUCCCGGUGUAGCGGUGAAAUGCGUAGAGAUCGGGAGGAACAUCAGUGGCGAAGGCGGCCAUCUGGGACAACACUGACGCUGAAGCACGAAAGCGUGGGGAGCAAACAGG
rnacentral:rRNA from 1 species